UACGUAGGGCGCAAGCGUUGUCCGGAAUUAUGGGGCGUAAAGAGCUCGUAGGCGGUUUGUUGCGUCGGCUGUGAAAUCCCGAGGCUCAACCUCGGGUCUGCAGUCGAUACGAGCAAACUAGAGUGUUGCAGGGGAGACUGGAAUUCCUGGUGUAGCGGUGAAAUGCGCAGAUAUCAGGAGGAACACCGGUGGCGAAGGCGGGUCUCUGGGCAACAACUGACGCUGAGGCGCGAAAGCGUGGGGAGCAAACAGG
rnacentral:rRNA from 1 species